rnacentral:lncRNA from 1 species
GAGAAAUGAUAUGCAUGAGGAUAUUAGCUUUUUUUUUCUUUUUUUUUCUCUUGCAUUAUUUUUUGAAAAUAAACAUGCUAUGAUGCAAAUGAUGCAAACACGACUGGUUGGCUGUGUAUCUCGGAGCACAGGAUCAAAGCUUCGGCUUGAAUUCGGAACCACAAAGUCAUCUGAGACCCAAAGUCAUCUGGAACCCAUUCUGCAGAACCAAGUC